rnacentral:lncRNA from 1 species
UUCGGAUAUUAUCCGUUCGGGUUCGGGUAUCCAAUCUCUCCUUAUUCAAUACCCGUUCGGGUAUUUUGCUACUUCGGUUCGGAUUUCGGUUCGGUUUUUUCGGAUCGGGUUCGGGUGCCACUUCGGAUAUCGGGUAAAGUGCCCACCCCUACAAAAUAAUGUAAUUUUUACAUCAAAAAUGGUGUAAUGGACUUACAUCCUACAAUCCAUUUUCGUAGUUUAUAUAUGUUUAUCGUCAUUGCUAAAUUAUUCUUUGAU